GACGAGGGGUCCAAGCGUUGUUCGGAAUCAUUGGGCGUAAAGCGGGUGUAGGCGGCUCUAUAAGUCAGAAGUGAAAGCCCCGAGCUUAACUUGGGAAGUGCUUUUGAUACUGCAGAGCUUGAAUGUGGGAGAGGGUAGUGGAAUUCCAGGUGUAGUGGUGAAAUACGUAGAUAUCAGGAGGAACACCGGUGGCGAAGGCGGGUCUCUGGGCCGAUACUGACGCUGAGGAGCGAAAGCGUGGGGAGCGAACAGG
rnacentral:rRNA from 1 species